CCUCAUGCUAAACAAAUAUUGAGUAUUUUAAUCCUUCCCAGAUAGAUUAACAGAUAUGAAUCAAAUGGUCUAGAGAGAGAAGAUAAGAAAUAAGCAUGAAAAUAUAGGACGCGGCGUUUUGGUGCCCGAGCUCAGAUGAGCCCGGGAUGAACAGUAAACAGUAAAAAUAAGGAAAAAUCCAGAAAACAAUGUGAUACAAGAUGCUCAGAUGCCUGACAUUCAUGCAAAUUUUUGUGAAGUUUGGACAUUCAAGGAGCUCGUGGAAAAAAAUCAGGCCUGUGAGAAACAUUUAAAAACAGCACUGUUCAUGCCUGAAUUUGUCUUUUUGCCGCGGGCUCCUCGAAUUUCCAAACUUCACCAAAUUCUGCACAAACACAAACAUGCACAUCUUGCUUGCAAAAAAACAGUUUUUUUCUAUUUUUUACCACUGUACUGUUCACCGGGCUCAUCUUAGUCCGGGCGCCGAAGUGGAUAUUCAGAAAAUAUAGCAGUUCUGUUCUUUACUAUUGCUAAUAUUGGAUAUGCCAUGAGUUUAUACUCCCCCCGUUCCUAAAUAUAAGUCCUUUUAGAGAUUUCACUAUGGGCUACAUAGGGCCUGUGAGAAACAUUUAAAAGCAGCACUGUUCAUGUCUGAAUUUGUCUUUUUGCCACGGGCUCCUCGAAUGUCCAAACUUCACCAAAUUUUGCACAAACAACACAAACAUGCACAUCUUGCUUGCAAAACAAACAGAUUUUUUUCUAUUUUUUACCACUGUACUGCUCACCGGGCUCAUUUUAGUGCGGGCACCGAAGUGGAUAUUCAGAAAAUAUAGCAGUUUUGUUCUUUACUAUUGUUAAUAUUGGAUAUGCCAUGAGUUUAUACUCCCCCCGUUCCUAAAUAUAAGUCUUAUUAGAGAUUUCACUAUGGACUACAUAGGGAUGUAUAGACAUACUUUAGAGUUUAGGUUCACUCAUUUUGCUCCGUAUGUAGUCCGUUAGUGGAUGUUGAAGUGUAUAUGUGGAUUUCCUAGCCCUUUCCAUCAAUUCGGCCUUUUGGUUGUGUUGCCUAGUGCAUGAAGCUUAACAUGGUACCAGAGCAAGAUUUUGAGUUCAAGUCCUGGCUUUCGCAGUUUAUCUAAAAAAUUGAUGAUGCCCCCCUUUGUCCAAGUAUAGGCCUCUUGAGCCAUACCUCUAUCCACGUGUUGACUUUCCGCGUCACACUUGAGAGGGGGUGUUUAAGUGUAUAUGUGGAUUGCCUAGCCCUUUCCAUCAGUUCGGACUUUUGGUUGCGUUGGCUAGUGCAUGAAGCUUAGCAGUGGAAUCUCUAAAAAGACUUAUAUUUAGGAAUGGAAGAAGUACAUUACAAAAGAAAUAUCACAUGAGUAGAGUUGUGAUUACUAUUUAGGAUAAAUACAAAUCCAGGUGUACCAUUCACACUUCACAUUAAACAUCAUCUAGAAGGGUGACUAAAGUCGUGAUUACUAUUUAGGAUAAAUAGAAAUCCAGGUGUACCAGCCACACUUCACAUUAAACAUCAUCCAAAAGGGGGGGAAACGUUGCAACCUACCACCAUAGCAAAUUAGCAAUAU
rnacentral:lncRNA from 1 species